GUUAUUGUGGAUAUUUUGUGUAAUAAAAGCGAGUUUAGUCGUUUAUAAUCGGAUAAAUGUUGGUUAUUCCACGUCCACUUGUUUUUCUGUCCAUCUGAUGAGUUAAGCCUGUUUCAACUGAUUUUUAUAGUCCGUUCUUAUGUUGUACUGUUAUACCACUGUCACAGGUUAGGGGUGUUGGGAUCCCGCUAACAUUUUUAACCCCGCCACAUUCUGUAUGUAUGUGCCUGUCCCAAGUCAGGAGCAUAGCUGUAAUUCAGUGGGUUUUUUGUUCAAUUUUUACAUAAAUAAGCCAUUAGUUUUCUCGUUUGAAUUGUUUUACA
rnacentral:lncRNA from 1 species